rnacentral:rRNA from 1 species
UAGGGAAUCUUCCGCAAUGGACGAAAGUCUGACGGAGCAACGCCGCGUGAGUGAUGAAGGUUUUCGGAUCGUAAAACUCUGUUGUUAGGGAAGAACAAGUAUCGUUCGAAUAGGGCGGUACCUUGACGGUACCUAACCAGAAAGCCACGGCUAACUACGUGCCAGCAGCCGCGGUAAUACGUAGGUGGCAAGCGUUGUCCGGAAUUAUUGGGCGUAAAGCGCGCGCAGGCGGUUUCUUAAGUCUGAUGUGAAAUCUUGCGGCUCAACCGCAAGCGGCCAUUGGAAACUGGGAGACUUGAGUGCAGAAGAGGAGAGUGGAAUUCCACGUGUAGCGGUGAAAUGCGUAGAGAUGUGGAGGAACACCAGUGGCGAAGGCGACUCUCUGGUCUGUAACUGACGCUGAGGCGCGAAAGCGUGGGGAGCGAACAGGAUUAGAUACCCUGGUAGUCCACGCCGUAAACGAUGAGUGCUAAGUGUUAGAGGGUUUCCGCCCUUUAGUGCUGCAGCUAACG